rnacentral:rRNA from 1 species
CGUAACAAGGUCUCCGUAGGUGAACCUGCGGAGGGAUCAUUACACAAAUAUGAAGGCGGGCUGGAACCUCUCGGGGUUACAGCCUUGCUGAAUUAUUCACCCUUGUCUUUUGCGUACUUCUUGUUUCCUUGGUGGGUUCGCCCACCACUAGGACAAACAUAAACCUUUUGUAAUUGCAAUCAGCGUCAGUAACAAAUUAAUAAUUACAACUUUCAACAACGGAUCUCUUGGUUCUGGCAUCGAUGAAGAACGCAGCGAAAUGCGAUAAGUAGUGUGAAUUGCAGAAUUCAGUGAAUCAUCGAAUCUUUGAACGCACAUUGCGCCCUUUGGUAUUCCAAAGGGCAUGCCUGUUCGAGCGUCAUUUGUACCCUCAAGCUUUGCUUGGUGUUGGGCGUCUUGUCUCUAGCUUUGCUGGAGACUCGCCUUAAAGUAAUUGGCAGCCGGCCUACUGGUUUCGGAGCGCAGCACAAGUCGCACUCUCUAACAGCAAAGGUCUAGCAUCCAUUAAGCCUUUUUUUCAACUUUUGACCUCGGAUCAGGUAGGGAUACCCGCUGAACUUAAGCA